UUUGCAGGCUGAAGAGAUGCAUCAAGUGCUGGGGGUGGCAGAGGGGAGUUUAGGGCUUCCCUUUCCCCUACAGCUCAGUCUACUUCUGUGCUUCACUGUGCCUGCAGUAGCAGAGCUGCUGGCUUCAUUUGCUGUGGUGCGGUUGUGGUUGCCCUGGGCUCUUCUUGCACAGGGGCUAGAGAUGGUUCCCUUGCCCUUCCCACUGUAAAUAGAGAGCAGAGGCACUCCAAAAGCUGGCAAAGCUCUGCCCGCUGAUCCCUCAGUGGAGCUAUCCUUGCACAGCAGGGGACAUGUCCCCUGAUGGGUGACAGAGAUAUUUGAAAUGGAUGGGGCUGUGUUGGAGGUACCUGCCGGCAGGGCUACCUGGGAGACGCUCCUAUCUGUCAUCUGAUUUAUCCAGGUUAAAAGGCUGCAAUCAGUCACCAAGCUCCUGGCCUCAUCUGAGCUGUGUUGGGCUGCACGAUGGAUGAUAUGUUCCAGGCUUUCCAUGUCUGGGGGCAAAUUGGGGCGAGAUGGCGCCGGGGGACCUGCGUGGUGGAGCCUGGUGCUGGGACAGCUUGCGAGGAGAGGGUGCACAGAGGCUGGAGCAAUGGAGGAUGCACGUGCAGGGCUGACAGGCAGUGACAAUCAAUAGGUCUCUAUUGCCUGCAGUUUUGUUCUUGUACGUGUACUCAGGUGCAGAAUGGAUCAGAUCAACCAGGUAGCUUACUACUAGCAUCAACUUCAACCUCCAAGUGUUGUGUACCUCAGUAUCUCGAGCCAUGGAGGGCAUUGCACUGGUGCUCCCUGUAAGUGGAUCGCUGCUGGGAGGCACCAGAAGAAAAAAGGUGCUCUCAAUGAUCUCUGCUGCUUGUCUGGAGCCUCUAUUCUGGUCACUGUGACCUGCUGGCAAUAUGUCACCUUAGGUGGCGAAUUGCAGAGAUGUUCCCUGUGAUGUGAGAGCUGGAAGCUGGGUCUCUCACUGGAAGCAUCCCUCUCACUUAAGCAGCCUGUGUGUUGACACCAGCAACAAAUCUGGCCUUCGGAUGCCUUGACUGCUGUUACCUUAUUUACGGCCUGGUGGAGGAUACGAGGGGAGGCAGUGCCUCCAGGCAGCCUUCUUCUGUCUUCUCCGGGCCCCUGUGCAGUGCUUGCAGGAAGAGGCUGGGCAGUGAUGCUGAGCCCACAAUGAUGCUCUCGCCUUUGCCAAGGACCAGGUGACCUCAUCACCACUGCUGUCCCAAGGACAGGCUGCCAGAAGAUGCUGCAGUCACUGGAGGAUGCAUCUUUGGGGGAGCAGGAGCCCUCCACGUCCUUGCUCAAGGAUUCCAGAUUGGCACCCUGUGAUGGAGGCCAGGAGACCCUGGUGCUUAAAGAUGUGUGGUUUUUCUCCUGUUUCCUGUGUAAUUAGCAGCUGCCCAUUGCUGGGAAGGACGGGGCUCAUCCUCUCCUGCCCUGGAGAGCAGUACCUCCUUACCCUCACAGCAGCUCUGCUAUUUGUCUAGGGGCACGGAGAGUCAGUUUGACUCAGCAACCAACAAAUAAUUCAUUGGUAUGCCCUGAUUGUCAUUCUUCUGCCACUAUAGCAAAUAAAACAGCUAGCAAACGAGCAUCAGAACUGGCAGAGAACGAGAAGCAUGUGACUGGGCAGAGACAGGAGAGGGGAUGCAAAUGAUGGGUAUUGCCUUG